GCCCAAUAAGGAUUCAAGCCGGCAGUUGUUGGCGUCAUGUUGCUGUAACAACUAAGCAGGGAAAGGAUGUUUCAGCGGGAAGCUUUUCUUUUAAAGGGGAAUGGCAGAUCGAGGAGAAGGAGGAUAAAAGAAAAAAGCAGAAGGCAAGGAGGUGGCUAUCUACGUUUAAAAGAAUCUUCAGGAUGAGACUUCACCCUGGGACGUCUGCUAUUUGUGGGUGGCCACCCCGAAGUUGAAACAGUGCACCGAAUCCAGGGGUUGAGGCUCUCUGGGUGCUCCCGUUUGAGUUGCAUAAUGCCUCACUGAAGCAGGAUCCUGGGUUCGAUCUCCUGUCUGUGUGGAGUUUGCAUGAUUUCUCCCAUCACAACAUCUACACCCACAGGAGACAAGAGGAUCAGGAGCUCAGCGGUAGCAUAAGCGGCAUUACCUCAGGAUGGCAACGUGAUGCCACAGCAGGACUGAGCUACCAGAUGCUCAUUAUCUUCAACUUCAAUGCCCAGAGUUAGUAGCAGACUGCAUUGGGGUCUUUUAUGCAUCCCAUAAUAACAGGUUUUGCUAUCCUAAACUCAACUCGGAUCAGCGAGCAGAAGCAGAGAGCGGCGGCGUCUCCCACAGGCACGUAGCCCUUCGAAAGCACCCGAGCAAGUUCACCUGAGGUAAA